GAUGAACGCUAGCGGCAGGCCUAACACAUGCAAGUCGAGGGGGAAGUUACUUUCGGGUGACUGAGACCGGCGUACGGGUGCGUAACGCGUAUACAAUCUGCCUUUCACUGGGGGAUAGCCCGAAGAAAUUUGGAUUAAUACCCCAUAGUAUAUAGGGACGGCAUCGUUUUUAUAUUAAAGCUUAGGUGGUGAAAGAUGAGUAUGCGUUCUAUUAGCUAGUUGGAGAGGUAACGGCUCCCCAAGGCGAUGAUAGAUAGGGGUUCUGAGAGGGAUGUCCCCCACACUGGUACUGAGAUACGGACCAGACUCCUACGGGAGGCAGCAGUGAGGAAUAUUGGACAAUGGUCGGAAGACUGAUCCAGCCAUGCCGCGUGCAGGAUGAAGGUCUUGUGGAUUGUAAACUGCUUUUGUAAGGGAAGAAUAAGGGCUACGCGUAGUUUGAUGACGGUACCUUACGAAUAAGCAUCGGCUAACUCCGUG
rnacentral:rRNA from 1 species